rnacentral:rRNA from 1 species
UACGUAGGUGGCAAGCGUUGUCCGGAUUUACUGGGCGUAAAGAGCGCGCAGGCGGUUGGAUAAGUCGAAUGUGAAAGCCCCCGGCUCAACUGGGGAGGGUCACUCGAUACUGAUCGACUCGAAGGCAGGAGAGGGAAGUGGAAUUCCCGGUGUAGUGGUGAAAUGCGUAGAUAUCGGGAGGAACACCAGUGGCGAAGGCGACUUCCUGGCCUGUUCUUGACGCUGAGGCGCGAAAGCUAGGGGAGCAAACGGG